AGCAUGAACGGCUAAAUGAGGAUUACACUGUCUCUUGUAAUUGACCAAUGAAACUGAUCUUGUAGUCCAAAAGCUACAAUAAAACCACCAGACGAGAAGACCCUGUGGAGCUUCUAAACCAAAACCAAAUUAAUGACCAUUUGGUUUUUAGUUGGGGCAACUUCGGAGUACACACUAACCUCCGACAAAAUAAGUUAAGACCAACAAGUCUAAACAAUUUUCUCGACCCAAUAAUCUACUCUAGAUUAUUUGACCAAUGAACCAAGUUACCCCAGGGAUAACAGCGCUAUCCCCUUUUAGAGUCCCUAUCGACAAGGGGGCUUACGACCUCGAUGUUGGAUCAGGACACCCUAAUAAUGCAGCCGUUAUUAAAGGUUCGUUU
rnacentral:rRNA from 1 species